CUCAUUAGCAGUCAGAAAAAUACAUCAGCCAGAAAAGCACACAAUAUUAUAAAGAUACACACAAAGGUGAUGUAAAGGAAAAAGAAGAACAAGCAUCUCAAACAAAAUCCUUGAAAAAGAAAAGGGGGUUUGAGUAGGCAUGAGAAAAUAGUAAAUUUACAAGAAAAAUAGCUCUUUCUACAUUUCUCUUCACAAAUAAAUAAUGGCCCAGGGUAUAGCUUUGCUGUGGAGUUCCUAAGAACAGAUGUCAAGCACCCAAAGGAAUUGCCAAUAAGCCACAGAGUAACUCUACUCAUCUCUGCCAUUUCCUCUCUUGUGGAGAUUGAGUUCCAUUUCCCUUUGCACCCUGCUGUGCAUUAGACAGAGACCGCUGGAUACGAGGUGAACCUUGCCUACCAUUUGAACCAGGGAGAGAAUGUCUCUUUUUGAUGUAUUCAUCUUUAUUGUGGACAUCUGGACUAGAUCUUGGGGAGCUAUUUGGGAUAGCUUUGGCUCUUGCAGAUUCUGUUGCUUGCAUGUAACUUGGGAGAGAACUGCUAGUACUGUUAUCUCUAGCCUCCUGAUCAGCUUGUCCAGCUUUUGUUGAACCAAACGAGUUUCGUCGCUUCUCAUUUUUAUGAUCCUUAGAUAAUUGUUCCGAACUAGUUGUACCUGGAGCAUGGUUUAACUUUGAAGGAGACUUUUUGCCAGCAGGUGCAGAGCGGCGCUUGGGAAUCGAUCCACUUUUUUCACUUCUUAUCUUCUUAGGAUUCAGGGACACCUUCUAGUCAAGUGUCCGUGAAUCCUAAGAAGAUAAGAAGU
rnacentral:misc_RNA from 1 species